GACAGAGGGUGCAAACGUUGCUCGGAUUUACUGGGCGUAAAGCGCGUGUAGGCGGGCGACUAAGUCGGAUGUGAAAUCCCCUGGGCUCAACCUAGGAACUGCAUUCGAAACUGGUCACCUAGAGUGAUGGAGAGGAAAGCGGAAUUCCCGGUGUAGAGGUGAAAUUCGUAGAUAUCGGGAGGAACACCAGUGGCGAAGGCGGCUUUCUGGACAUUUACUGACGCUGAGACGCGAAAGCGUGGGGAGCAAACAGG
rnacentral:rRNA from 1 species